CUGUGAAUCUUCUUGCUGUUCUGAUUUUAUAAUCAUCAGGGCAGGCUGAAAUAGUUGCUAUAAUAAGACCAUGCAUAUAUCCCCAGGCCUAGCUCUUUACCUAUGUAGUUCUGGUCUUGUAAAUGAUGGUGGUAAAU